rnacentral:rRNA from 1 species
GACGGAGGAUGCAAGUGUUAUCCGGAAUCACUGGGCGUAAAGCGUCUGUAGGUUGUUUAAAAGUCUGCAGUUAAAGGUUGAAGCUUAACUUCAAAAAUGCCGUAGAAACUUUUAAACUAGAGGAUGGUAGGGGUAGAGGGAAUUUCCAGUGGAGCGGUGAAAUGUGUAGAUAUUGGAAAGACCACCGAUGGCGAAGGCACUCUACUGGGCCAUGACUGACACUGGAGAGACGAAAGCUAGGGGAGCGAAUGGG